AUGAUCAUUGGGUUAUCGUCUGCAUUCCUGACGUAGUGUUUACAGCUUCCUGCUUAUGGCAACAAGGAAGCAGAACGCAGAGUGAUGAGAGAUUUAUGUGGAUAUGAUAGCACUGGACACUUCGAGGCUCCAUUGGCAAAACAUGCGGCAAAUAGGAAACCAAGGGGUGAGCUGAAAAUAUCUAUGUAGACCUUUGACAUUUAAGAAGUAUAUGCCCUAAGAUUUCUACAGAUCCUGAAAUUCAUCACUACGGCAGAAUCACGCAUCUUAUGGUGAGUCAAUGAUGACUAAUGUAGCAGAGGCGUUUACUGGUCAUUGAAUAUCAAUGUGUUCCCUCCACUUUUUCCACUACCUUUAAGUUAGACUGGAUGGUGUGAAUACAUUAUCUGACAGAUGGCUGUGAUUGGAAGUGAUAUGUCUCUCUGAUGGGUUGAAUCACUAAAGAACUACAUUGAAACUCUCUCGCUUUCUCUUUUGCUGUCAUGGAGAAAGAGAUCAUGAAAUCACAGGAGGGAAAGUAACUUAGAUCUCUGAGUCACUGAAAAUAAAUUCCUUACAGAACCACUGACCCCACAAUAAAUACUAUGUGAGUGAAAAAUAAACUUUUAUGCCUGUUACUGCUGCAAAGCUAGGCUAUCGUGACUAAUCCAAC
rnacentral:lncRNA from 1 species